rnacentral:tRNA from 1 species
UGUCCUAUGGUGUAAUGGUAACACUACGGUUUUUGGUGCCGUCUUUCUAGGUUCGAGUCCUAGUAGACCAA